rnacentral:lncRNA from 1 species
CCGAAAAAAAUUCCGAGACAGAAUUCCGGAAAAUUCCGAGACACAAAUCCUGUCACACCCGGCUUUAAGGAACAAAGUCAGGUGCAUCUCAUACAUGCGCCAAGAAGACAACAUAUAUAAUAACACAGUGUAUAGAGAUAAAUGUCAAUAACAUCAGAGUACUUAUUACAUAGCGGAAAACUUAUUACAAAAUAAAGUAAUAAAGAUAAAACGAACUAAUGAUCGUCGGUGCCAAUGUCAACAGAGAAACGCCACCUAGAUCAGAUCAUACUCCUCGCCUUGUGGCUCCUCCUGAACCACCUGCUCUUCUCCUGUGGGGGGGUGUGAGACAGCAAGGGUGAGCUUACACAUGAUCAUAGCUCAACAAGUUGUGGGGAACCAGUGGACAUAAACUCACAAAGGUGUGAGUUCAUGUGAUGUGUAAGGCUAAUCAAUGAUAGGGGUUAAAGCUGAGCGUUGCUUUUAAGUAGUUGGUCAAAAUUUUAUUAGCAGUUACUAAGUGUAAGUAAAUACCAAACCAUAAGUAAAGUAAUAGAACAAAAUUAAUAACAAACCCAUGCAAUGCAAAUGACCAAAUUGAAUUUAAGUUCCAUAAUUUAAACAUCAGAGAGUCCUGAGCUGCUCAUGACCGUGAGCUCGGCUAGUAUACCAAUUUUACACUCUGCAGAGGUUGUACCCUUUACCCACAAGUCAUGUUACCCAUCUGCCAAGGGAUCGUGACUUCCCAUACACCUCUACCUAGGAAGCGCGGCAGGGCAACACUACGAGGCCUUUACAAAGUUCCACUAGCUUCCGAAAACCCGCUACAGUUUAUAGGAAGUUCUAAUGCAGGGUUCUUGUCUGACCGCCAUCGCAGCAAAAUCAACCAAGGACCUCCCUACACUGACCACUCCCCUACUGCCCUUGCCCCUUUCGGGUAAGGUAGUCUUCCACUAGCUUUCCUAAUUAGUCAGCCAAGGGCGUCCCAUUAAACCCUUGUGGUGGCACGUGUUACUCAAGUUAAGCUCUAUGUUCCAAUUAACAUUAAUGAACUUGCAUGAACAUAAAUAGAAUAACAAGAAUAAAUGGAACAUAGAUAUAAUAAAUGAUUAUCCCAAAACCAUGUAAAGCAAUAGCAAACUACCCAAGUGAUUCAGGGGUAAACAAGGUAAUGAGAUAAACAAUCUAGGGUGACCUAUUGGGUCCCAUCAAAAUUAACCUAUGCAGGGAUAAAUGAUAUUAAAGAACAUUAUUGGGUAAAAAGUGGUCAAGGGCACAACUUGCCUGACACUUGAGAUUCCAAUUACCAGGGUGAUUCUUCAGAUCCUCGAAACCUCACUGCUAGUCGUAGCAAUACAAACAAACAUGGUAUAGACAAAAUUAACAUCACACCAAACAUGAGUACAAACUAAAUAAUAAUGUUCUACGCAUUGCUACGAGGUCGUAGAAACAAGAACUACUAAAAUCAGGGUUACGAUUGAGAAGGUACCACGUUUACGCUAAGUGAGUAUUGAUUAGAACUCUUAGUUCGCUAUAGUCAUAUUAACAUGCAUUUAUAAAAUAUAAAAUUUAAAUUAUAAAUGUGAGUCGAUUGAAUUGUUAUUUUAACAGCUGAUAACUAAGCAAGUAAACAAUUAUCUAACAUGAAUAAUAUGACGAAAUAAUUUAAUAUCAGGCUCGGACAGCACGUGAUACAUGUGAACGAUGCGCGGCAACAUGCGCGAACAGCGUGACGACGCCGAGCGCAACACACGAGAAUCACAAAUAGAUAUCGUGUUUACACUAAAUAAGUUUUAAAAAAAACAUUAGAGUAGACAUUAACCACAUUAACAUGUAUUUAUAAAAGCACAAAUUUAAACUAUAACUUAGUUUUAACUAAACCACAUUUUAAUAAGCAUCAGAUGAACAAUUAAUUAAUUAAUUAAUCAAUCAAAAAUGUGUCGUGACAAAUAAUGUUUCUAACAAGUAGAUUAUAUUAUUACAAACUUAACGCAAUUAGAACGGGUUGAAAUGGAUCUACAACGCAAAUAUAUUGAGUAAAUAAUAUUUCACGGAUUAUAGGCGACGUGCUGUGAUCUCAUUGGCUAGAGUCUAGCCACAUGAUGGGCUACAUGACCGUGGGAACAGAAGAUCUGUGGGGGUGAGCGAACCAGGCCAAUAGAUUUCGAUCGAUAGUCAAAGGUUAUGAACUGAGGUCUAACGUGGAUCGUUCAGCUCACAUCUAAUGGCCCAAAUGAAUCAGUCCGAAACGGUUUGAUCCCAUAAUCAGGAUCGUCCAACAUAGACCGAACGACACACAUGUCUUCUUCCUUCUCGCCUCACAGCCAUGGUCAUGCCAUGCAUCCCCCGGUGGUGAGCUCCGGCAUUAAUGGGGAGAUAGGCUUAGGGCUAUGCGCGACAAUAGGUCAUCGGCGCUGCGUGGUAACUAGACUGGGAGAAAGGUCCCGUAGAGAAGCUACCGAUAAACCGGGGUGCUCGCGACAUAUAGAGAAUCAAAUGCUGCCGCCUUAGCGUAGGAUGAAUCUGGCUGUGGUGAUUCACCGGGUAACCCAUCCAAAUGGCCUCAAUCCCCCUUCCUCCAUACUUACGAGCAGGAUCUACCAAUCGCAGGUGCCUAUGAAAACAAUAGAUGUCGCUCACCUUCAAUGGACGAUGAGACAGAACAGGCUGCAGCAAUCGGGUGCCUCACGGCGGUGGCCAACCCCGACGGUCGAUGCGAUUCCCACCAGUCUACUAGUCUCGGUGGCUCUCCAAUUUUUUUGGUCACGCACGCCGAAGGAUCCCGCCACAGUUCGGCCAGAUUGAUCUCCUCCGCACAACCCAUCUUUGCUAGCUUGUGGAUUGGUGAUGGCGGCUAGCUUGUUUAGCAGGCUGGAGAGUAUGGCGGUGUGGUUAAGGAGGCCGUCAAGACGAUGCUUUAUUGGCCGAUUCAUCAGGGCCGGUGGUUACGGCUGAGUUGGUAUAGCGGCGAGCUGUGGGUUUUGAAUGUAGUUUGUUACCAAAAAU